rnacentral:snRNA from 1 species
UCGCCGGAAAGAUGACGCA